UACGGGGGGUGCUAACGUUGUCCGGAAUUAUUGGGCGUAAAGAGCUCGUAGGCGGUCUGUCGCGUCGGCUGUGAAAACCCGAGGCUCAACCUCGGGCCUGCAGUCGAUACGGGCAGACUAGAGUGCUGUAGGGGAGACUGGAAUUCCUGGUGUAGCGGUGAAAUGCGCAGAUAUCAGGAGGAACACCGGUGGCGAAGGCGGGUCUCUGGGCAGUAACUGACGCUGAGGAGCGAAAGCGUGGGGAGCAAACAGG
rnacentral:rRNA from 1 species